rfam:Jeotgalibacillus campisalis strain SF-57 contig00014, whole genome shotgun sequence.
AACAGGCUGCGUUGUUCGUACUAACUAAGUAAGUUUUAACCUUUAAGCUGUAAUAGGGAGUUUUAAAUAAAAACGGAAUUGGCAAGCCUCCGUCUAUAAGACAAGGAGGACAUACAUGAAUGUUUUUGCGAACACCCACUUUGAGGAGUGGUGGUUUAAAACUUUCUUAAUCCAUACGGCAAAGGCGGCCGCUUA